GUGGGGAAUUGUUCGCAAUGGGCGCAAGCCUGACGACGCAACGCCGCGUGGAGGAUGAAGGUCUUCGGAUUGUAAACUCCUGUUGGGUGGGACGAAUCCUUUCCGGGCUAACACCCCGGAGAAAUGACGGUACCACCUGAGGAAGCCCCGGCUAACUCUGUGCCAGCAGCCGCGGUAAUACAGAGGGGGCGAGCGUUGUUCGGAAUUACUGGGCGUAAAGGGCGCGUAGGCGGCCGACUAAGUCAGACGUGAAAUCCCCGAGCUCAACUCGGGAACUGCGUCUGAUACUGGUUGGCUGGAGUCCGGGAGAGGGAAGCGGAAUUCCAGGUGUAGCGGUGAAAUGCGUAGAUAUCUGGAGGAACACCGGUGGCGAAGGCGGCUUCCUGGACCGGUACUGACGCUGAGGCGCGAAAGCCAGGGGAGCAAACGGGAUUAGAAACCCUAGUAGUCC
rnacentral:rRNA from 1 species